rnacentral:rRNA from 1 species
AACGGCCGCGGUAUCUUGACCGUGCAAAGGUAGCAUAAUCAUUAGUCCUUUAAUAUGGGACUGGAAUGAAGGGUUUAACGAGGAACUAGCUGUCUCAAUUUAAUUUAUUAAAAUUUAGCUUUUUAGUUAAAAGGCUUAGAUUUUGUUGGAAGACGAGAAGACCCUAUAGAGCUUUACAUUUACAUUUUGGGAACUUUAUUUUGGUUUAUUUUUAUAUUUCUUAAUGUAUGUGUUUUGUUGGGGUGACAUUAAAUAUAUAUUUAACUUUUAUUGUUUAAGAUCCAUUUAUUUAUGAAUAUUUGAUCCAUUCUUAAUGAUCGUUAGAAUAAGUUACCUUA